rnacentral:rRNA from 1 species
CACGAGUUUGAUCCUGGCUCAGAACGAACGCUGGCGGCAUGCCUAACACAUGCAAGUCGAACGAGACCUUCGGGUCUAGUGGCGCACGGGUGCGUAACACGUGGGAAUUUGCCUCGGGGUAUGGAAUAACUCAGGGAAACUUGAGCUAAUACCAUAUAAUGUCUUCGGACCAAAGAUUUAUCGCCCUGAGAUAAGCCCGCGUAGGAUUAGCUAGUUGGUGGGGUAAAGGCUCACCAAGGCGACGAUCCUUAGCUGGUCUGAGAGGAUGAUCAGCCACACUGGGACUGAGACACGGCCCAGACUCCUACGGGAGGCAGCAGUGGGGGAAUAUUGGACAAUGGGCGAAAGCCUGAUCCAGCAAUGCCGCGUGAGUGAUGAAGGCCUUCGGGUUGUAAAGCUCUUUUACUCGGGACGAUAAUGACGGUACCGAGAGAAUAAGCCCCGGCUAACUCCGUG